rnacentral:rRNA from 1 species
GACAGAGGGUGCAAACGUUUGUUCGGAAUUACUGGGCGUAAAGCGAGUGUAGGCGGUCUGCUAAGUCGGGUGUGAAAGCCCUGGGCUCAACCCAGGAAGUGCACUCGAAACUGGCAGGCUAGAGUACUGGAGAGGUUGGUGGAAUUCUCGGUGUAGAGGUGAAAUUCGUAGAUAUCGAGAGGAACACCGGUGGCGAAGGCGGCCAACUGGACAGAUACUGACGCUGAGACUCGAAAGCGUGGGGGAGCAAACAGG